GGACGAGAUGUACCGUGAACAGCUGUCGUAUUGCCAAGUAACGUAGUUGGUAGGAGUAAUUGACGUACUGGUGGGACUUCGAGCAUAACCAUAAGUCGUGUGUGGACAUUGGCAAAGAGACAUAGGAGGUGGAAGUGGAAACGAUCAAGUGCCGCGCGAACGUUGGUUAAAAGCCAUAAUUAUUGUUGAUACAUGUAGACCGUUGUCAUGACGGUGGCUGAUGAAUUAUUCGAAGGAUAAAUGAAAAUUUCGAAAUCUAGACUGAAUAAUUGUGCAUUACUAUCGUUUCUAUCUAGCACACAACGUUUGUUUGUGUCGUAUAGAAUUGCCAAUGAAAACUGAAAAAUGAGUUUUUUUAGCUGCCUAUCUUUUCUUGAUAAAAUGUAAACUUUCUGAUCGUCACUCAAUUCUGGGAUGGUGUAAUCACUCAUGUGUCAACAGAUGAUUAUCGUUCCUUGAUUUAACUGUAACGUAUCUUGUAGGUCAAUUUUUACACCUAAGCAGUGCCUACUGCUGUUUUCUUAUCGGAUAUCUAGCAUACGCGGAGAAAUACUUCGAGAAAAAUAAAUGAAACUAAAUCCUGCAACGUGAUUGUUGCAACUAACAGGAAUAAAUGAAUAACGGCCCGUUAUAAUCUUCCGUUUUUACUGUCGUUGACCGUCAAUAUUACGCUGGUUAUACUUUUCGUACGACAACAAUAAUGAAAACGGAAGAUUAUAACGGACCGUUAUACAUAAUCGAGGCCGUUAAAAGAAGAACAUUGCAAAUACGAGAGGCGAAAAAGACUGUCUCCAUGGCGCACGCUAUACUUUAAGUAACAAAACUGUGGUUUACAAUUUGUAUUUUUUUUUAAAGUGCAGGGUUACGUAUUCCGAUGCUAUUUUCUUGUGCUGUCGCAAACACGAUUACCUUACGUACGAAACGCAGGCAUAAAAAGACGCCUAAGCCACAUUAGUGUAACAUAAAAGACGCAGAAAUAGUGAGCAAGCGUCGAGCAGGUAUACGAGCGGUUUUUUGAAGUUUUCAACCAGUUUUUUCAAGAGUCUGAACCAGUUUUUUGAAGAGUCAGAAGGGCAACUCUAUGGACCAGGAAUCGCUGAUUAGCAUAUUAAUGCGAUGGAAAUUGCGACCUGCACCUUUCCCGCCGCACGACAAAUGCAUACUCGAGACGCCUCGGUGAAAUGGUUGUACCAGGCAUAACAUGACAUGUAUCCUAAUGAAAAAAUUCGAGAAGACUGUUGAAAUACAUAACAAUAAACCCUGAAAGUUUCGUUU